UAAUAAAGGUAAGUGCUAAAACUAACAAAAUAGGAAAAACCACGGAAAACAGUGAGUAAAAUAAAAAUUAGGCUCUUUGAGAGACUAAUGCACUAGAUACACCCUUGUCAGGCCUGAUUAGAGAAAAAGUGAGAUAAAUAUAGAUUAUAAAGAAAAUAUAACUACAGAUGUGGAGAAGAUGAGAAAACUUACUGGUGGAUAUUAUGUGCACCUUUAUAGAAAUAAAUUUGAAAACCUAGUGGCAAUAGAUAAUUUUCUAGUGAAAACUGGAACUCUUAAAAUGAUCAUUUUAAGAAACAUGAAUAGGUCAAUUAUUGUAGAAGAGACUUGAAGGUAAAAGAUCUGUCACUAAAAAAGGCACGGGACCUAGACAGUUUUGCAGAAGAAUUCUUUUUAGUCUUUAAAAAUCAAUUUAAACAUCAAUUCCAGUGUUGUAUAAAAUCAUAAUCACAAGAAAGGAAAGAUACAAAAAUCAUUUGUGAAGGUAGCUUCUAAAGACAGUACAGAAUUUGAAGACCAACUUCUAUAAAGAAUUAUAAACACAAUAUUAACAAAUCAAAUCCAUCAAUGUAUGAAAAGCAUGUGACACCGUUGCCAGAAAGCAAGAAUAUAUCUUAAUCAUUUCCAUUUUAUAUAUUGUGGGAAGGAUUCCAAUUAUUUAUAAUGUAUGUUAUGGUGGUCAAUGUAUUAUCAAUGUGUAACUCUUUUUUUCUAUUGAGGUCACAUUGGUUUAUAUUAUAUACAUUUCAUGUGUACAUCAUCAUAUUUUGACUUCUGUAUAGACUACAUCGUUUUCACCACCAAAAGACUAGUUUUCAUCCAUCACUGUACAGAUGUCCCCCCUGAAUCCCUUUCACCCUCCUCCCAACCCCUUUCCUCUCUGGUAACUGCCAGUCUGUUCUCUGUGUCUAUGUUUGCCAUUGUUUUAUUUUUAUCCUCCACAUAUGAGUGAAAUCAUGAAAUCUGACUAAUCUCACUUAGCAUAGUACCCUCAAGGUCUAUUCAUGUUGUUGCAAAUGGCAAGAUCAUAGUGUGUAAUUCUUAAAUCCUGAUUCUUGAAUAGCUUGGAGAUUGUAGGAGAGAGAUGAGUGUGGAAGGUGGAUGUUGGGGGGGGAAGGGAGAGAGUCAUUUAGCUUUAGGCAAAUGUUUAGUUAUUUGUGAUUUUUUAACUUGUAGGAUAUGCAAGUUGAAGAGAGCAGUGAUAAGUAAAGAAGGAACCUGUGAAGAAUAUCUACCAUGUUCCAAACCCUUGGCACUCUGCAUAAUAUGUCAUUUAAUGGUUCGAUCAGGUUUGGGUUAAUAAGCAGAGGGCACACAUGCACACUCACAACAGUAGAAUGCCUUCUAGAAACAUUCAUUAAUUAAGGAACACAAACCAACAUAUUAUUUUUUUAAAAGUUAUUUAGGAAAGGGGCUUAUCCAUAGAACAUUAGUAUUAAAUUGGCCACAAAUAGACACUUCAAAUAUUUUCCUGACAUAUGUCAUUCAUGAGACAAGAGAGACAGCAAUUUUAAUUGACGUACGAGUUCGUAGAUCCUGACGUUGCUUUAUAAGCUCGUUAGAAUGGUUUUGCUGGUCGUAACCACAGAGGAACGAAUAUUCAUGCUGUGGAGAUGUCUCUGCUCACCUUGAUAUUCUCAGAUUGUCUUAUAGGGUAGGUGUCUGCUGGUUGUAGUGUCUCUGGAUGGAGAAUCUUAGAACCUCACAAUGCCCGGGCAGAAGCUUUCUUUUCUAUCCAGCUCAGCUAUACCUGGAACCUCUUGGGAUCCUGGGGAGGUGGGUGGGUCCCAAGAGGAGGGAGGAGAUCUCUGGGCAUAUUUUUGUCAUGCAGCAGUCUCCCAGGACAUCUCUUUGAGGAUUCUUUCCGCUGCGUUUUUCUCUGGCAUAGACUGGGGGCUGCUUUCGAGGUUUCUUCCUCUGGUUUGCCUUGAGAAAGGAGAUUCCCUGUUGCAGUUGUCUGCCCUUGAAGACCUGGUGCCUUCCUAUGGGGAGGGGAGCACUCUCUCUCAUAGUACUGAAGCGCAGUGGAGCAGAACUCUGGCUAAAACAUAUUACUAAGAAAAUUUAAACAAAGCAAACUGUGGACACCUCAGACGCAAGACUUUGUAAUUUAACAAGUUGGAGUAAUAACUAUUAGGUCAGUGAAUGUAAGUCUAUCCUAUAAACAAGGAUUAUAAGAUUUAAACAGGGCUUUGCCUCACUACAAUUAUGUCAGCAGCCAAUGGCAAUAGCUGUGGAGCCACCCUGUCUCUCUGCUUCAUCACUUAAAGUGACAGUAUCCAGCUUUCCACUCUGCAUCUAUCAUAAAGACACAUUGAUUUCCUUUCUGGAGAAACACAUAUUUCUCUUCUCCUGCUAAAGAGAUAAAUCUGACAGAUUUUAAUCAAAUGUAGUUGUUCACAACUACAGAAAUGUGUUCAGUGCCACAUGUGAAAACAAAAAUACACCAGCAACUAAAGAAGGAGUUUCGUGGCCAAGUUUAUUUGUAUUAAAACACACUCACACACACGCACUCACACACACGCACUCACACACACGGCAGUGAAACCUACCAGUUGGUUAAUAUUCUUCAAGGUAGUGUAUCAUUUGUAGUGACAUCAGUAAAUGUUGGUCUCCAUUAAAAUUUCCGCUAAAACUAUGCUGUCUAGAUUCUCUGUUUUACCCUAAGGUGCUGGAAUACUGGGCCUUGGUCUUUAAAGCAAGGUCUUUCCCAGAAUGAAACUUGGCUUUCAGAGGAGACACCCUUUGAGAUAUGGUAUAGAAGAUGAAGAAACUUCAUGUCUCGUAUCCAACAGGCUCUCAUAUCUGUAUUUUUGCUCAGUAUUUGGCUAUGAUUUGGCUAAGGGUGUUAUGGAGCAUUUGCAUUACUUCAUAAACUUAUAUAUUGAUUCCAAGUAGCUCAUUAUUCUUUUAAAUGUGUCCAAGGAAAGCCAAGAUGUUACACAUAUUUUUUUCUUAUGAGUUUAGGUAGACAUUUAAACAGAUUUUUCUUAAUUUGGUGGGUACAAAAAAAUCUAUGGGAGAGGGUCUUAAAAUCAGUACAGCUUGACGCCUUUCCCAUCUCAUUCAUUGAUUAGUUCAGGUUCACUCCUUAGAGGCUGAGUUGAUUUUUAAUGCUACUUUUCUAAAUAUUUGAGUCUUUGGCGUGUUUUGUCUUUUCUUGUCAGUCUAGAUAUGACUGAUUGCAUUUUCAUUAGCAUGGAGAGAUUGGAUGUCUCUUGUUCAUACCUAGUGGCAAUUUCCUGCGCACAUAUCUUGGAAUAAUAUAUCUUAUUUCUGCUAAUUUUCAGAGGUGAAAAAAAGAAUCCACAUCAUGAGUGGAAGUGUGGAGAUACAGUUUUAAUUGGCCAUCAAUCCAAUCCUGCCUUAAAUAGUCCAUCUUCUCAAUAAAGUUUUUUCAUUCUGUCCUCAUAAUUUUGAAUAUUAUAUUAAGAUAUAUGAUUUAAGAAAAAUUGUAUUUGGAAAGAAAAGUAUUGAAAGAAAGUUAUUUUAAUAAUCCUACCUAGUGGGUCAUGGUGUAUGUACAUCUGUAAUUCCAUUGCGUUUCAAUGGGAAACAAUGGAGAACUGUUUCUCUUUUAAAAUAUGAGUUUUAAAAGUUUCCUUUUAGUGUGCUUCCACUGUCAUUUCUAAGUUCGUAAAAAUUACAAAACACUAGUUUUUAUAUGAUAACGUGCCCUAUAAAUGAAUUGCCCUGCACUGUAUUAUUGGGUUAAUUUUGACAACCACUUUGGUCUAAGAAUGAUCUCACGACUCUGCUAUUUGUCCUUGAUGUACCAUUUGGAGAUACAAUUUUUUCUGAAAAGCAUAGGGUGAUAUGGGGAAGAGGGAAGAUGGAGAGUGGCCAAGUCAGAAGUUACCUUGUAAGAAUAAUAUUAGAAGAGGUUGGCGUUUAAACUGUAAGAGGAAUAGACUAACUUCUUAAAGUAAAAAUUAAGAAAAGGAAGCCAAUAAAAGUGGGUGAACUCAUUUCUUUGAAAAUCUUAGUGUCCUUAUGAAGCCCUCAGCCAAGAAACUGGUGGUUAAAAAUUUGUCCUAAUUUCUAUUUGGUACUGGUGUCAUUUGAAAUUUUAACCCCAAAUGAAAGGCCAUCCUGACAUAGGAAAUAUGUGAUUGUUGCUUGAAAGAAUAUUUGUGAUAGCCCAAACUACAGCCUCUAGAAGAUAUGAAGGCAAGCACAAAAUAUUACCUGGAUCGUGAUUUAUACAUGCUGAGCAGACACUAAACUCACCACCCUCCUUUGCCCCCACAGAAAGUGCUCCAGGCUAGCCAUGACUCCAGCACAGUAUUUCAAAGCAAUAUUUCCCAAAGUUUUUUCUUAUUUACGAAAGAAGCAAUUCAUUUUGUAGGACAUUUUAAACUGGCAACUGGCCAACAACAAUUUUGACCAAAGCUGGGUGCAAAAGGUAUUGCAAAACACAAAGCUAGAGGAUAUUUGGGAAAGAUGGAAAAAAAAAAAAGAAGGUUAUUCAUCCUUCCAUAUGGCUUUUUAAAGUCAUUUACAAUUAUGUGCCGUUUAUGGUAGUUUCUAGAAAUUUUUGUCCGUUGGGAAGGCAGAAGACUGAAUACGUUUGCGGAUGCAUCACCAGAGAGAAGAAAUUCAGAAUGACAAUGGAAUUUAGUUAAUUGUUUGAGGAUCUGAACGUGAUAAUGACACUGUUAACCAGGAGAAUGGAGAGUGUGAUCUCAUUUGUUUUUCCAGAGAGAGAUUUCAAGAACUUAACCAGAAAUUAAAGUUGCUAGUGAUAGUGUGAAACGUAAGCAAUAACAGUCCUACCGCAAUUACGCAUCUGAUUGGAAAGGUACAGUAUAUCAGAUGUCUUAGAGCCUGUGUUUGUUCAUAUAUCUGGUGCCCACGGAAAUGCACUUCAAGAGAAAGGAGAAGUGUGGAGCUUUCUCAAGAUGUAUGUAGAUAACUUUAUAUGAUACACAAUUUAAACCACGUGCCAUGCCACCAAUCCAUGUCCUUGGCCUCUUAUGAUUAAACCGUAAGAAGAUUUAUAGACAUUCGGGUCUAAAUGGGAUUCUUGGAGCUUUCAUACAUAGUCCAUUCCAUAGCUGCCAAGUAAAGACUUUCUUACACAAUUCCAGCAAAAUUGGAAGACAUUUUAAUUGUCGAAUUAUUCACAGACCUUCACCAACAGCCCCUCUCUCCCAGUACACCACCACUUGACAAGUCCCAAUCUUGUAUCUUACAGAUGGAAUUUUCAUAACCUUUCUACUGGGGCUGGCUUUCCGUUCUUUUAGAAAUAAUUCUUGGAACCUCUCAAAAUUCUCUGUAGCUUCCUAAAAUUGAGAAGUCAAACCAUGGCACUUCCUCAAGAGCACUAACUUUGGACAUGGACAGACCCAAGGAGGAGUCUCAGCUUGGCCAGAUAGCUCUGAAUUUGGAGCCUCAAAAUUUCAAGAAAUUAAAUCUUCUCUGAAGAAGAGUGCCAUCUACAGAGGAAGGCACUCUUGGUGUUCCGUUUAGUGAAGUGCCACUCUGAUGCAGUAAACCACGUUCUGGAGGCUGGAAGUAGGGGAUCCUGCAUCUAAAGCGCACAGCCUUCCCAGGAUUAGUCACUUGGCUGUCUCACUGUGCAGCUAGUAAUUCAGAGAUAAUCAUGUUACCAAGAUGCCAUUUAAUCUGCAUUUGGCAUAUCUCAAGUUUUCAUCUUCAUUAAUAGAGCCAUCAAAGUUUCAUUGGGCCUGACUGCUAUUGGACACACUAGUGAUUCACCCAGAGGGCGGGGUUUGCAGUUUGCGUGGAGAGACUCUGCUUGCCAGAUGGCAGCUGUUAAUCUGCCUGCAUCAGGGGUGCGAGGGGGGCUAAGCUCCUUGGGCCCAUAGCCAAUGGGGCUAUCCCUCACCUCUGAUCACACAUCGUUGCCGGCACCAGGCUGGGGAUCCUGAGCCCCUCUGGCAGGGUCGAUCUCCACUCCCUGCAGGCUGGGGGGAAUGGAUGCCUGGUAAAGGGAAAGGAUGCUUUUUCUGGUCUUCUUACUGUGUCCCUGCUGCCUCUAGCAUAGGCCACUGAAUCAAAAGAUCCCUGCGGAAGGCAGUUUGCUCCAGUGGAAGGGCGCAAAGCUGGGAGUCAGAGUAAUUUGGCUUGGAAUCCCGACUCUAUGUGACGUUGGGCAUAUCACUUAACCUCUUUUAGCUUCAGAUUCUCCUGUUUGCAUGAUAUGAAGCUGAUGCUGUGGCCAUGGUAGGUCCUCCAUAGAGUAGUCAGGGCAGGGGAGCCAGAUGGAGACCUAUCCAUCAGUCCCAUGUGGCGCUUUUGGGUGUAGAGCCCAGAGAAACUCUUAUACAGGUCCCUGAGGGGGCUGGAUAAGGAUGGCAUCACAGUAUUGUUUGUGGUAGUGAGGAUGGUGGCAGCCUAGGAGUUCGUCAGGCGGGAGAGAUGAUAAGAUGUUAGGGAGGCUUACCACGCAACACUGUGCAACAGUUUGAAGUAGUGUAGAGAAAUCUUAAAAACUGUGUUGGGAGAAAAAGAACAGAACAAAGUCUGUGGACAUCAUUUGUAUAAAUUAAAAAUACACACACAGAACAAGGAUAUACUAUGUGUUUCACGAGGAUACGUACACAUUCAAGGAUAUCAUCAAAGCUAAUAGUGCUGUUGCUUGUGGGCUGGGGACAAACUGGGUGAAGGGAAAUGGGAUGACAGGUGAUGAACAAAUGAGCGAAGGGCCUGUACAAACUUAAAAUGACAGCAUGCUAUGAGUACAGGAACAUGACUUAUCCAGUGUUCUGCCCCUGGAUCUGAAAGCAAAAGGAAAGAUCGAGAAAAAAGUCAUGGCCUCAAUUAAAAAAAAAAGCCACGGGGAGGUAGAUGAUCUACUGAGAGUAGUGUUGUGGGGGCUUUAGGAUCAGGCGUAAGGACAGGUAACUGCGUGGCUGUGGAAUAGCUUUCCACUGGGCCUCGCUCUCUCUCUUUUGGGAAGAAGUCUUAUGAAAAAUGUGAGACUGGAAUGAAGCGGAAUAGACUGGGAUACUCAUUUGCUCUUGUCUGAACUCUCAAUCAUCACAGACCCUCACUUCCUGAGGGCACGUCCCCAAUUUUUCCCAAUUCUUAUUGUAGACCCAAUUUUUGUCACUUGGUCCCUGUAGAGCUUUACAAAAGUGUGAUGCUCAUUCUUGUUAAACCAGUUGGGAAUUUCCUUGAUCCCCAACUCUUUGGCCCUGCACAGAAGUGUAGCUGCUCUUCCAGUAAAUGAGAGCUUUGCACACAGUAGGGCAGAAGGAUAUUACUGUGUGAGAAAGGACCACAGGGAAACUCCCAUCAUUUUCCUAGAAUCUGAGAAAAAAAAAUUACAAAUGUGUGAUGGGGCACACUCUGUGGUCUUCUUUUGUUAAUUUAUGAAUUGCAAGAGGAAGGUAGACUUAUUGGAAUAGUAUAAUUAAGUGUCACCGUGGUAUGGAUAGUAAUUACCACCAAGUAUAAUGAAGCAGGAAAAGAAACAAUGUCCCUCCUGGAUGGCAUCAUCCAUAUAAGCCUUGUCUUCUUCAAAGUUCUGUGUCCAUUUCCUUUAAAUACAGUAAAUAAGGCAGGCAUAAAUAAAGAACAAAAUCUGAAAAGGAGGAUGAAAUGAUCUAUAAUCUGCUUCCUUUCUUGGAAGCUAAACUUUUGAGAGAACAUUGGAGACAAAAAUCAGCAAGACCUCUCUGGGCUAAGAGAGGCUACUAUUGCGCCACACUUCUAUUCAUCACCACCAUCUCCGUCUCCUACUCUUUCUCCUCCUUUCCUCCCUUCCUCCUCCUCCUCCUUCUUGGUUGCCCAAUCAGAUGCCUUAUCCCUCGGAAGGCAGUGAUUAGUUCAAGGAUGGGUAUAUGAUCCAGGCCAAGUCAAUUGAAGGCUUCCCUGGGACUUUGGUUGGUGAUAUAAAGAAAGAGGUGCUCCCAUUUCUAGGAGAGCCAUAUAUAAUCCAGUUACUGCUGGUGGAAAGAGCCUGACUGAGAAGGAAGCCAGUGAAGAGAAAAACAAAGCAGAGCAGGAGCAAUAGAGAGAUGGACGAGAUGCCAUUCCCUGAGCGCCUACCUCCAGCCAUGCUUGAAACCAGAGGUCUCUGGACUCUUCACUUACAUGAACUAAUCAAGCACUAUUCUGGUUUUAGCUGGUUUGAGUUGACUUUUUGUCAUUUACAAACCAAAGAUUUCUGUGUAACGUGCCACGCAAGUAAGGCAGAUACUGCUGUACCAGGGAGCAUGUGCUCAUUUAUCAAACAUUUAGUGUAAGGUUACUUUAUGCCAGAAAAAGCCUUUCCACAGCAAAGUCACAUGACUCAUUGAGUCAUUUUCAAAGAAAAAGAGCAAAUCUAUGGGUAGUUCAAGAAUACCUGACAUAUCCUCGGGUAUCUGAAUAAGUUUGUGUGUCUGUGUGUGUGUACACGUGUAUGUGUCCAUUUACUUCAAUAACCAAAGAGUAAUAUGACCAUAUGUUGGGCUACCUGGAUCACAUAAUAUAACUAGACGUGAUCCGUGAAUUCUUUGCCAGCACUUUCAUUUGCAUGAGGGCAUGAAGAACUAGUUUAUUGCUAAUAGGCUGAUGAGCUGUGUGACUUUAGGCAAUUGACUCAACUUCUCUGAGCUUUCAUCUGUAAAGUGCUGAUAGUAAUAGUCUCUACAUUAACCGAUUGUUGUGAGUAAGAAAUGAGCAAAUACGUGUAAAGUGCUUAGCACAGUGGCUGGCACAUAAUAAAAUCACUCAAUAAGUCAUAGCUUUAUUACCAUCAUCAUCAUCAUGAAGAAAGCUUCCCCAGUACUUUGAAUACUUUGCAUGCAUGUAGUGCUUUAUUUACCGUUUACCGUGUACUUUUGCAUACAUCAUCCAAUUUGAUAUGGUGGGUCUACAAUGCCUUGCAAUAGCCAUUUCCUAUUUUGGCUUCUUGCGAGAUGAUAAGGGCAGUUUUUUCCAAGGUUUCCGUGAUAUUUGGCACGAUAGACUGAACCUAGUAUCACAUUACGAGUGACGGAGAAGUGCAUUUGUUUCAGCAGAAGAGUUUUAAAAAAAGGAAACAUUUUUAGCACAAAUGUGGCCUGGUCCUGAGUAUCUUUAAUCAAGGCUGGAAGGUUAACUGCUCAAGAAAACUUGAGUUACAGCUGUUACGCUUGUGAACAGACCCAAUCAGGGGAGAUGAAAUGCUAUUUUGACGAGAGUGUCUUUCUUUUUCUUUUCCUUAAUACGUCACUGACAUCAAAAAGAAAGCUCAGGCAAACUCAUUUUUUUGGUCAUUGGUCAUUUCAAAUAGUCUUAAAGUUGGACUUCCUGAAAGACUUCGUGUGUUUCCUGUUACCAACAUAAGCAGAUUGUUGAAUUUGACACAUUGAAAUAUUUUCUUCGUUUAUGGAAUUUUUUCACAAAGGCAUGCUUUCAAAAUGCUAAAAUACAGAUCCAUAGUAAGAUCUUCUUUGCACAAGAAAAUAUUCUUCAAUUAAACAACUGGGUAAAAAUCCUCAAUUGUAUUGUUUAAGGGAAUGUUACACUUUUGAUUGUACACAAAUUUCUAGAAUAAGAAAAGGCCUUGAUUUACUAAUUCAGCAAAGUGUGCUAGUAAUUCUCUCUUUUAGUUUUGGAUCUGGAUGUUGUUUUAUCUAAUUCAGGGAAAACACAGCUUCUUUAUUAACUGUUAAGGGGCCGGUGGUGAUCCAAAAGGAAAGAUUUGUACAUUUUUACUAGUAUAAAUUUUAAUAAUCUCUUGUACAAAAACCGAAAAUAAACCAAGAAGCAUAAAAACAAA